UCUGGAAUCCCUCCUUUAAAACCUCCUCCAGGCAGGUGGAAUCCUCUUCCCCCUGAACCACCUUCAUUUAGGGCUUCAAAUAACGCUGCUAUCCCUGCUUCUGCUGCUCGUCCUCCUCGACAUCCUACUCUUGGCAGCGCUCCAACUCCUGGUCCUCCUCCUCCACCACCCCCAGCACCAGCUGGUGCAAAAUCUGGUCUAACUCCACCACCAGCAGUAUCACUAGCUGUUGGCAAACCUGGUCCUCCUCCUCCACCACCCCCAGCACCAGCUGGUGCAAAACCCGGUCUAACUCCACCACCGGCAGUAGCACUAGCUGGUGGCAAACCUGGUCCUCCACCACCCCCACCCCCAGCACCAACUGGUGCUAAACCUGGUCCACAUCCACCACCUCCUCCUCCUAAGAGUGGUAUCGCUCCUCCUCGGCCUCCUCCUCCUCGACCUCCUCCUCCAGCUAGUAGACCAAAAGCUACAGA
rnacentral:lncRNA from 1 species